rnacentral:rRNA from 1 species
CAAUAGCGUAUAUUUAAGUUGUUGCAGUUAAAAAGCUCGUAGUUGGAUUUCGGAUGGGACUUGCCGGUCCGUCGUUUCGAUGUGCACUGGCCAGUCCUAUCUUGUUGUCGGGGACUAGCUCCUGGGCUUCACUGUCCGGGACUAGGAGCUGACGAGGUUACUUUGAGUAAAUUAGAGUGUUCAAAGCAAGCCUACGCUCUGAAUACAUUAGCAUGGAAUAACACGAUAGGACUCUGGCUUAUCUUGUUGGUCUGUGAGACCAGAGUAAUGAUUAAGAGGGACAGUCGGGGGCAUUCGUAUUUCAUUGUCAGAGGUGAAAUUCUUGGAUUUAUGAAAGACGAACAUCUGCGAAAGCAUUUGCCAAGGAUGUUUUCAUUG